AUGCCAUAUUCCGGCAGGUUUUCUCUGUGUACUUGUAAGGGUUAUAGGUACUGGAACCCAAAAGCACGACAAACACCGGAAUGCAGGAGGAGGCAGUUUACUGUGUGUUUCAGGCAGGGUCAAAACCAGGUAGUCAGUCCAACAGGGCAACAAAUCCAAAAAGGGGCAGGCAAAAUCUUGAGUCGGGUAAACAGGCAAACAGGGUCGUAACAGGCAGGUCAGGAAGAAACUCUAAUAACGCUGGAAGGUUGGCGGUGACACACAAGACAAUCUGGCAGAGGACAAGUGGAAGUGAGGGAGCUAAAUAGUGAGAAGGGCGUGAGGACCAGGUGAAGGGAAUGAGGGACUAACGAGGUGAGGAUGACAGGAUCUGGAAUGACAGGAGAGUGAAUGAAACAUGUACGCAGGAUGAAUUUAACUAGGAAGGUGGGGAAUUCGUGACAGUACUAAUACCAUAAAUACACAUUUAACAUCAACAUUAGCAAAAAGACAUCCCCUGCUAGACCUCAGAGGAGAGGAACAUGUUUGUAAGUCACUUGGUGAUUCCUCACAACUUGACUGAGGAAUCCCCAAACAAAUAGUUUUUAACAUAUCUCUGACUUUAGCAUCAGAGCUUAAUGACAAUUGUGUGUUAAAAAAUGCUUGUUACAUUAUAAUGGUAAAGUUCAUUCUAAUGCACAUUUAGAACACUGGAGCAAGUGUGUUUCCUUUUUAAUCUUUCUCUGUCAGACACUUAAGAUAAGCAUGAGCAAUGUCUUUAUUCCGGUCAUCAUGUUUGUGUUUUCCUCCCCAGCUCAGUCGUUUCAGGAGUUCGCCGGACUCCUGCAGGAAGUAGAGCACGACAGGAUGAUGCUGGUUCAGAACGCCUCCGAUCUGCUCAUCAAGCCGUUGGAGAAGUUCAGAAAGGAGCAAAUAGGACUUACAAAAGAAAAGAAAAAGAAGUUUGAGAAGGAGAGUGAGAAAUAUCACUCCCAGGUCGACAAAAACCUGAAUCUUUCUGUGAAAAAGAAGGACAGUCAACUUCAAGAGGCUGAUGACCUCCUUGAGAAAGAGCACGUGAACUUCUAUGAAUCGUCAGUGGACUAUGUGUACCAGAUCCAUCAGGUGCAGGACAGGAAGAAGUUUGAUGUGGUUGAGCCGGUGCUGGCGUUUCUGCAUAGCAUUCUAACGCUCAACAACCUGACAGUGGAGAUGACUCAGGACUUCAUGCCUUACAAGCAAGAACUGCAGCUCAGCUUGCAGAACACCAGAAACCACUACGAGAGCACUCGCGAGGAGAUGGAGGAGCUGAUGAAGAGAAUGAAACACCCAUCCCAGAUCUAUAGAAUGCACAGCUUCCUGCCCAUGGAGGGCUAUCUGUACUGCCAGGAGAAGUGGGCUUUGGGUGUGUCAUGGGUCAAAUAUUAUUGCAGCUACAAGGAGGGGAGACAGCUGGUCAUGGUGCUUUGUGAACAGAAGCCAACAACGAAACAGGGCACUACACAGCUGACACUGAUAUCCUGCAUCCGCCGGAAGACAGAGUCCAUCGACAAGCGCUUUUGUUUUGACGUGGAAACCACCGAGAGAAACACACCCGUCACUUUCCAAGCUCUUUCGGAGGGGGACAGGAAGUUGUGGAUGGAGGCCAUGGAUGGAAAAGAGCCUAUCUAUCAUUCCCCAAUUCACAAGCAAGCUGAAAUGGAACUGAAUGAAAUUGGAUUCAAGUUUGUGCGAAAGUGCAUCAACUACAUUGAAACAAAAGGAGUCACACAAGAAGGAGUGUACAGAACAGUUGGCAGCAACAUCCAGGUGCAGAAGCUAUUAAAUGCCUUCUUUGAUCCCACAAAUCCAGGAGACGUGGAUCUCCAGAGCAGCGACUGGGACAUUAAAACCAUCACAAGUGCACUGAAGUUUUAUCUCAGGAGCUUGUCUGAACCGCUGAUGACCUACAGUCUCCACAGAGACUUCAUGUGUGCUGCAAAGUCCGAUAAUCUCGACUUUCGACUGAGUGAGAUUCAUUCUCUUUCCCACAAACUGCCAGAGAGGAAUCGAGAGAUGUUGGAGAUGCUUAUUAAACACUUGGUCAACGUGUGCAGUCACAGUGAAGAGAAUCGAAUGACUCCUUCAAACAUGGCUGUUAUCUUUGGACCCACACUACUGAGAGCCAAGGAGGAGACGGUGGCGGCCAUGUUGGAUAUUAAGUUCCAAAAUAUUGUCGUUGAGAUUCUGAUUGAGGACUUCAAAAAGAUCUUCAGUUAUAUGCCAGAGGACAGCACUUGCCCGCCAGUCCCUCCUCCGCGGAUCACCCCGAGAAAGCGGCAACCAAUAACCAUCUCCAAGCGUCCACCUCGUGUUUACCAAGCUCUUAGUCACGACCUCUACCAGCACACACAGAAUGGCCAGAACGCCAGCUCCGUCACUGACAGGGAAGUCUCGGCUAACCCUGUUCCUCUGCAGAGGACAAAACCUGUGAACCUUGCUCCACUCGUUCCAAGAGAACCGCCUCCGAGACUGGCAUUGAUGCCCAGACCAGCGAGCCGUCAGGAAAGACACUUUGACUCCGACGCCGGCAAGUUCGACGACACGAGGCAAAGGCCGGAUUGUGCUUCAGCGGCGAACGGGGAGUCUGGAGUCAAUGUGAGCAGAGUACAAUCCUUCCAGAGCAGGAGACAACCUCCCAAAGGAGAUUCUGAUGGUGUGACCAGAACAAGGUCCACAGAGAAACAUGUCAUUUGUAGACCCCCUGUCCGGCCUCCUGAGCCCCCCUCCAGACUGCCCGCUCAACAAAAGACCCCGAGUGCAGCCAGCAGCGAGGCCUCGGUCACCUCCUACGUUGCCUCUAAAACUAAGUUUUUUGAGAAUGCCUCCAAGCACGUUGGCAGGACAGGGGAAAGUCCAUGGAUGUAUAAAGAGAAAGCAGUAUCAUGAAGGGAAAUCUCUGUCUGGUCCCCCGGCUUCUCCGCCAUCAUAAACGGUGACGAAUGUGAAAAAAGAGAAUUAAAGUUAGGGAGACUCGGAGAACAUCAUGUGACCUCGACACGUGCUGGAGGGAGUCGGUGUCGCUCAUCCCAGCAGACAGACUGAAGAAGUCGCUUAUAUCGUCAUGGAGGGAUCCGAUUCCCUUGUAUUUUUAACGGGAAGAAGGAUGUUGUGAGUCAACACAUUAGCAAAUGGACUUUUGCCGGUACUAUUUUCCCCUUGUUUCAUGCCAGUUGACAAUUUAGUUUGACAAACUAAAAUUACAAUAUUUUGUCAUUUUACAAUGUUAAGAAGUUUGAAUAGCCAAUUUUAUUGCCGGCAACAAACUGCCAUAACUGGUUAUAACAGUUUACUCUGACGUUGUGUCUACACUCUUAACCCUUGUGUUGCCUUAGGGUCAUUUUGACCCGACUCAAUAUUACACCCUCCCCCCACCUUAGGAUUAAUUUGACCCCAUUCAAUGUUUAAUGUCGGUGUUCUUUCGGUAUUCAACAAACAAACAUAAAGUGCCUCACACUUAAACUUGGAAAACAAUAUUAAUUCUAAUAAUUUUCUGGAGGUUUUAAUUGCUGGCGUCAAAUUGAACCCAAAGGGUAAAAUAUGUUAGUAAAUAUAAAGGUAACAGGAGGGUGAAACAUUAAAUCGGGUCAAAAUGACCCAAAGGCGGGGGGAGGGUGUAAUAUUGAUUCGGUUCAAAAUGACCCUAAGGCAACACAAGGGUUAACACUCUGCAUUGUAAAAUAGAUCCCCCAAAGAAAACUAAUUGAUUAAAUAAGGUUAAUAAUUAUUCAUUUUAAAACGUGAAAUAUUAGUUCUAGAUUGUAUAAUGAACCAUGUACGGUUCCGUCAACGAGCUGGAUGAAGCAAAUUCAUCAAGCAAGUUACAUCAAUUGAAUAAUGAUUUAUGUGAAAGCUAUUGGGUUUUAAAAAUAUUUUUAAAAUAAUAUUUUGAUCAAAAUGUAAUUUGACAAAACGUGUCAUUCAGCCACGAGUCACUUUAUAAGAGGCAUUACAAAAAGGUAUUUUGCUACCCAGUGUCAGACUGUAUCGGUAUCAGUCAGCGUAGUUCGGAUGUGCAUGAUGACUAUGUUUGAUAGGGAAUUAUUAAAUUAGAUUCACGAGUGUACAGUCCCUCAUUUCUGACCUUGUUGCCGAUCACUUCUUACCUCAUGUAGGGAGGUCAGGUUGCACAGGAGAGUCCUAGAAGGUUACCUGAAUGUGUUCCACCUCAAAAAUAUAGUUGGGAUUUCCAAAAUUGGUCAACUGACUGUAACAGUCGUUUAUGUGAAGAUAACACUCCGAAGUUUUGUUUUCUAUUUCUUUGUUUUUAAAAUAGCUAUGUACAUUUUAAACUUUUGUUUGAUAACCCAACUUGAUAGCUCUGGUUGUCUUGAAAAUAAAAGUUGUUAACAUGACUUGAAAUAUGUUUGUGUUAUGAUUAAAGUCCCAUCUCCUCAGUCAGUGA